GCUGGAAUAGCUCAGUUGGUUAGAGCGUGUGGCUGUUAACCACAAGGUCGGAGGGUCAAGCCCUCUUUCUAAGG
rnacentral:tRNA from 1 species